rnacentral:RNase_P_RNA from 1 species
CGAGGUGUUCAGACAGUCGCGGCGGCAAAGGCGAAAGCCUGCCGAUGAGGAAAGUCCGGGCUCCACAGGGCGAGGAUAACGGGUAACGCCCGCCGAAGGCGACUUCAGGAAAAGUGCAACAGAGAUAUACCGCCGCCCGAUCUUCGAUCGUGCGGUAAGGGUGGAAAGGUGAGGUAAGAGCUCACCCGAUGGCUCGAGAGUGCCCAUCGCUGUAAACUCUAUCCGGAGCAACACCGCUAUGGGGACAUUGGUUGGCCCGACCGUCCCCGAGGUGGCUUGAUCGCCGCGGCAACGCGGCGGCUAGAUAGAUGACUGUCAAGACAGAACCCGGCUUAUAGAACAGCUCGCAGA